AAAGUCGAGUAUUGCACGUCAUGGGUUAGAAAAACAGAUGGAUUCAAGUGAUUUACAGUGCUGAUAAAUUCUGGAGUAGAAGAAGUUGAGAAACCUGAAUGACCCAGAUAUUGAGAAGUGUUUCGAUGCAGAAGAACCCAGCACCAAUGAAAUACAUUAUCUGUGAGGGUGAAAAAGAAGAAAAUUAGGUGAGGACUAAGAAGACUCUCACAAUCCGAAGUAAAGUACUUGUAAAUAGACAGAAAGGUUACGUACCCCGACUGCAGCAUUAGUAGUUAGAAGCUCGAUUGCUGGCAAGAAACCUCUGUUCAUAUAACCAACAAUGCAUGGAUCAGAUGGAGAUCAUCAAAGACUCAAAAGGUUUUUAACAUGUUCAUGAAAUGACGAAUCGUUAAAGAAUGUAAAACUUAAAAGGCUGAUUCUGAUGCUUUUAUCUAGAAGAAAACUCUUACGUGAGAGACUUUCCUUGGAAGAUGACUGGUGGAGCAACUGCAGCAAAGCCGCAGAACGCGAUGUGGAACUGAAAAGUGCAAGACACGGGUUUAUUUACUCAUGGCUUCUUGAAAAACUUAAAUGCAGAGGAAAUCUACCAAUAGAAAUUCGGUUUUCUUACCACGUAAAAAAAGAAAAAAGCUCCAAACUUCAGGGCACUAUCAGUUCUGCAAGAGCUCGGUAAAGAGGACGGUACCAUAAGACGUACGCUCCAGGUACCCCAGCAAGGAAGUAAAUUAUUGAGAGAAGCCAUAUAGUGGGACCUGAUUACAAAACAGAACACAUCAGAUGAUUCAACAUGGUCAGAGGAAUUAACAUUACGAAUCUGAUCGUUUAGCGGUCUAAGAAGGGUUCACAUACCUAACAAUGUGGUGAAUGCGACGUAUUGGAUCUUCUGUAAAUGAAUUGGAAUCUCAUUUGGAAUGUCAUGAUGAAUUAAAGGAAAAAACUCCGGCCAAUUCUUCUCUUCAAUGACAACUCCAGCUGCCAAAACAACCGUAUCAAGUUAGCUACAAAAACCCGUAAAAGGUCAUUGGAAGAUGUAAAAAGACAUAUAGAAGAUUGCACUACUUCGUGCUAUUGCGUCCUCUCUUCUUUUAAGCUCCUGUAUUGCAAUGAGAAGAAGAAGACUGUUAGAUACAGUCCUCAUUGAAUCAGUAGGUCUAAAGAUUAUAUUUGAAUAUCGCCCAAGAGACUCGGUUACUAGAAAUCACCUGCUCUUUCCGCUUCAAUUCGUUCUCCUUGGCCUGGAGUUCCAUCUCUUUAGCUCGAAGAUCCUGCGAACAGAAUCAGCAAAAUGAAAACUUCCGUUUUCAUCUAACCAGAUUUUGAGUAAACAUGAAAGGCAAAAUGCAGAAGGUAUUGAAAAUAUCGUACAUUGCCAGAAUCCAAAGGGAUAUCAACGGUUGCACCACGAUCAUAAGGUUCCGGUGGAAGUGGCUUGAGAUAAGAGUUGCUCGCAGGAGGAACACUUGUAUGAUUCUACAACAUAAUAAAUUGAGAUCAAAUGGAGAAAGACUACAGAAAGAUCAGACAUUAGUAUUCAGUCAUUAUGAAACAGAGCUCUUUACCGCAAAAGGAUUGAUCUCUUCAUCAGCAAAUGGAUUAGGAUCGUGUCGUGCCAUUCUUUGAGAUCGUUUGUUUUAAGAUCAAGAAACUUAUUCAAUAACAGAGUUUUUGGAGUUGGUUGGUGAAUUUUGACAGAAAUCGAAAAUGGGAAGAAACUGGUUUGAACGAAUGGAUACUUUGUAGUCAGAGAGAGAAAACUAAAUCAAUGGCGCCAGAGAAAUCGAAGGCAUUUUAGAGGGUGCUCGCUUCG
rnacentral:lncRNA from 1 species